rnacentral:lncRNA from 1 species
AUGCACCCCUCUGCACAAGUGCCCCAUACACCCCAUGCAGCCCUAUACAUGAGUGUCCAAUUCACCCCAUGCACAACUGUCUCAUUUGUGACACUACACCCCCCAUGCACCCCCAUGAACAAGGGUUCCAUACACCUCGUGAACCCCUGUGUAUGGGCAUCCCAUACACCCUGUGCACCCCUAUGCACAGUAUCCCACUCACAGCCCUGCAUCCCCACGCAUUCCCAUGCACACCCAUACAUGAGUAUCCCAUACACAGCCCUGUACCCCCAAACACCGUAUGCACAGCACCACAUUCACAACCCCACACCCUCACACACCCUAUGCAGUGUCCCAUACACAACCCUGCAUUCCCACGCACACCCAUGCACGAAUACCCCAUACACAGCCCCACACCCCCUUAUGCACAGCAUCCCACUCACAGCCCUGCACCCGCAUACACACCCAUACACGAAUAUCCCAUACACAGCCCUGCACCCCCAUGCCCCCCCAUGCACAGCGUCCCAUUCACAGCUAAACACCCCCAUGCAUCCCCAUACAGUGUCCCAUACAAUCUUCCACCCUCAUGCACCCCCAUACACGAGUAUCCAAUACACAGCCCUGCACCCCCACUUCUCCCUAUGCGUAGUGUCCCAUACACAGCCCUGCACCCCCCUAUGCACAGCGUCCCACUCACAGCCCUGCACCCCAAUGCACACCCAUACACGAAUAUCCCAUACACAGCCCUGCACCCCCACACCCCUAUGCACAGGGUCCCAUUCGCAGCCCUGCACCCCCAAACACCCCUACGCACGAGCAUCCCAUUCACAGCCCCGCACCCCCGUGCACGCCCCAUGUACCCACAUGCACAGUGUCCCAUACACCCCAAACGCAAACACCCCAUACACCCCCCGCGCACCCCCACACACCUCUAUGCACAGAGUCCCGUACAUCCCACGAACUCCACGCACCCCUAUGCACGAGUGCCCCAUAUACCCCAAUAACCCCCCACGCACCCCUACGUACGACCAUCCCGCACACCCCCUAUGCACGACUGUCCCACCUCCAUCCAGCGCAGUGACCCAUACCCAGCCCCGCACCCCCAUACACCUCCAACCUCCCCCAGGUACCCGCACCGCUCUGCUGCAGCCUCGCUCUCUCCGUGGCUCCGUUCCGCUUCCGCGGGGCCGCUCCCCAACCCCCCCCCACCCCCCGCAGCCGCCCCUCCCACUGCCCCCAUCCGCUCCGACCCGCUGCCCCCGGGGCUGUGUUAUCCCGUUGCUCCGCGCCCGCUUAUCGCUGCGAUGA